GGGUUGUGAGGUUAAGCGACUAAGCGUACACGGUGGAUGCCCUGGCAGUCAGAGGCGAUGAAGGACGUGCUAAUCUGCGAUAAGCGCCGGUAAGGUGAUAUGAACCGUUAUAACCGGCGAUUUCCGAAUGGGGAAACCCAGUGUGAUUCGUCACACUAUCAUUAACUGAAUCCAUAGGUUAAUGAGGCGAACCGGGGGAACUGAAACAUCUAAGUACCCCGAGGAAAAGAAAUCAACCGAGAUUCCCCCAGUAGCGGCGAGCGAACGGGGAGGAGCCCAGAGCCUGAAUCAGCAUGUGUGUUAGUGGAAGCGUCUGGAAAGGUGCGCGAUACAGGGUGACAGCCCCGUACACAAAAGCGCAUGUGCUGUGAGCUCGAUGAGUAGGGCGGGACACGUGGUAUCCUGUCUGAAUAUGGGGGGACCAUCCUCCAAGGCUAAAUACUCCUGACUGACCGAUAGUGAACCAGUACCGUGAGGGAAAGGCGAAAAGAACCCCGGCGAGGGGAGUGAAAAAGAACCUGAAACCGUGUACGUACAAGCAGUGGGAGCACAGGUUUACCUGUGUGACUGCGUACCUUUUGUAUAAUGGGUCAGCGACUUAUAUUCUGUAGCAAGGUUAACCGAAUAGGGGAGCCGGAGGGAAACCGAGUCUUAAUUGGGCGUUAAGUUGCAGGGUAUAGACCCGAAACCCGGUGAUCUAGCCAUGGGCAGGUUGAAGGUUGGGUAACACUAACUGGAGGACCGAACCGACUAAUGUUGAAAAAUUAGCGGAUGACCUGUGGCUGGGGGUGAAAGGCCAAUCAAACCGGGAGAUAGCUGGUUCUCCCCGAAAGCUAUUUAGGUAGCGCCUCGUGAAUUCAUCUCCGGGGGUAGAGCACUGUUUCGGCUAGGGGGCCAUCCCGGCUUACCAACCCGAUGCAAACUGCGAAUACCGGAGAAUGUUAUCACGGGAGACACACGGCGGGUGCUAACGUCCGUCGUGAAGAGGGAAACAACCCAGACCGCCAGCUAAGGUCCCAAAGUCAUGGUUAAGUGGGAAACGAUGUGGGAAGGCCCAGACAGCCAGGAUGUUGGCUUAGAAGCAGCCAUCAUUUAAAGAAAGCGUAAUAGCUCACUGGUCGAGUCGGCCUGCGCGGAAGAUGUAACGGGGCUAAACCAUGCACCGAAGCUGCGGCAGCGACGCUGAUGCGUUGUUGGGUAGGGGAGCGUUCUGUAAGCCUGCGAAGGUGACCUGUGAGGGUUGCUGGAGGUAUCAGAAGUGCGAAUGCUGACAUAAGUAACGAUAAAGCGGGUGAAAAGCCCGCUCGCCGGAAGACCAAGGGUUCCUGUCCAACGUUAAUCGGGGCAGGGUGAGUCGACCCCUAAGGCGAGGCCGAAAGGCGUAGUCGAUGGGAAACGGGUUAAUAUUCCCGUACUUGGUGUUACUGCGAAGGGGGGACGGAGAAGGCUAUGUUGGCCGGGCGACGGUUGUCCCGGUUUAAGCGUGUAGGUGUGUGUUCCAGGUAAAUCCGGUUCACUUUAACACUGAGGCGUGACGACGAGGCACUACGGUGCUGAAGCAACAAAUGCCCUGCUUCCAGGAAAAGCCUCUAAGCAUCAGGUAACAUCAAAUCGUACCCCAAACCGACACAGGUGGUCAGGUAGAGAAUACCAAGGCGCUUGAGAGAACUCGGGUGAAGGAACUAGGCAAAAUGGUGCCGUAACUUCGGGAGAAGGCACGCUGACACGUAGGUGAAGUGAUUUACUCAUGGAGCUGAAGUCAGUCGAAGAUACCAGCUGGCUGCAACUGUUUAUUAAAAACACAGCACUGUGCAAACACGAAAGUGGACGUAUACGGUGUGACGCCUGCCCGGUGCCGGAAGGUUAAUUGAUGGGGUCAGCGCAAGCGAAGCUCCUGAUCGAAGCCCCGGUAAACGGCGGCCGUAACUAUAACGGUCCUAAGGUAGCGAAAUUCCUUGUCGGGUAAGUUCCGACCUGCACGAAUGGCGUAAUGAUGGCCAGGCUGUCUCCACCCGAGACUCAGUGAAAUUGAACUCGCUGUGAAGAUGCAGUGUACCCGCGGCAAGACGGAAAGACCCCGUGAACCUUUACUAUAGCUUGACACUGAACAUUGAGCCUUGAUGUGUAGGAUAGGUGGGAGGCUUUGAAGUGUGGACGCCAGUCUGCAUGGAGCCGACCUUGAAAUACCACCCUUUAAUGUUUGAUGUUCUAACGUGGACCCGUAAUCCGGGUUGCGGACAGUGUCUGGUGGGUAGUUUGACUGGGGCGGUCUCCUCCUAAAGAGUAACGGAGGAGCACGAAGGUUGGCUAAUCCUGGUCGGACAUCAGGAGGUUAGUGCAAUGGCAUAAGCCAGCUUGACUGCGAGCGUGACGGCGCGAGCAGGUGCGAAAGCAGGUCAUAGUGAUCCGGUGGUUCUGAAUGGAAGGGCCAUCGCUCAACGGAUAAAAGGUACUCCGGGGAUAACAGGCUGAUACCGCCCAAGAGUUCAUAUCGACGGCGGUGUUUGGCACCUCGAUGUCGGCUCAUCACAUCCUGGGGCUGAAGUAGGUCCCAAGGGUAUGGCUGUUCGCCAUUUAAAGUGGUACGCGAGCUGGGUUUAGAACGUCGUGAGACAGUUCGGUCCCUAUCUGCCGUGGGCGCUGGAGAACUGAGGGGGGCUGCUCCUAGUACGAGAGGACCGGAGUGGACGCAUCACUGGUGUUCGGGUUGUCAUGCCAAUGGCACUGCCCGGUAGCUAAAUGCGGAAGAGAUAAGUGCUGAAAGCAUCUAAGCACGAAACUUGCCCCGAGAUGAGUUCUCCCUGAGACUUAGAGUCUCCUGAAGGAACGUUGAAGACGACGACGUUGAUAGGCCGGGUGUGUAAGCGCAGCGAUGCGUUGAGCUAACCGGUACUAAUGAACCGUGAGGCUUAACCUUACAACGCCGAAG
rnacentral:rRNA from 1 species